AGACAUUUGGUGCAACCUUCCUCU
rnacentral:siRNA from 1 species